rnacentral:rRNA from 1 species
GAUGAACGCUGGCGGCGUGCUUAACACAUGCAAGUCGAACGGAAAGGCUCCUGCUUGCAGGGGUACUCGAGUGGCGAACGGGUGAGUAACACGUGGGUGAUCUGCCCUGCACUUCGGGAUAAGCCUGGGAAACUGGGUCUAAUACCGGAUAGGACGAUGGUUUGGAUGCCAUUGUGGAAAGUUUUUCGGUGUGGGAUGAGCUCGCGGCCUAUCAGCUUGUUGGUGGGGUAAUGGCCUACCAAGGCGUCGACGGGUAGCCGGCCUGAGAGGGUGUACGGCCACAUUGGGACUGAGAUACGGCCCAGACUACUACGGGAGGCAGCAGUGGGGAAUAUUGCACAAUGGGCGCAAGCCUGAUGCAGCGACGCCGCGUGGGGGAUGACGGCCUUCGGGUUGUAAACUCCUUUCGCUAGGGACGAAGCGCAAGUGACGGUACCUGGAGAAGAAGCACCGGCUAACUACGUG